rnacentral:misc_RNA from 1 species
UCUCGUUGGUGAACCAGCGGAGGGAUCAUUAUCGAGUUUAUAACUCCCAAACCCUAUGUGAACUUACCACUUGUUGCUUCGGCGCGCGCUUCGGUGCCGCCGAGGUCACUUAAACUCUUUGUUUUUAUAAGCAUUUCUGAGUGGCCGAAAGGCAAAAUACAAAUGAAUCAAAACUUUCAACAACGGAUCUCUUGGUUCUG